GACGAACCGUCCGAACGUUAUUCGGGAUCACUGGGCUUAAAGGGUUCGUCGGCGGCGCGGAAAGUUGGGUGUGAAAUCCCUCGGCUCAACCGAGGAACUGCGCCCAAAACUACCGUGCUCGAGGGAGAUAGAGGUGAGCGGAACUUAGGGUGGAGCGGUGAAAUGCGUUGAUAUCCUAAGGAACACCGGUGGCGAAAGCGGCUCACUGGAUCUCUUCUGACGCUGAGGCACGAAAGCUAGGGUAGCGAACGGG
rnacentral:rRNA from 1 species